rnacentral:rRNA from 1 species
UACGGAGGGGGCUAGCGUUGUUCGGAAUUACUGGGCGUGAAGCGCGCGUAGGCGGACCUGCAAGUCGGGGGUGAAAGCCCGAGGCUCAACCUCGGAACUGCCUUCGAUACUGCGGGUCUCGAGUCCGGGAGAGGUGAGUGGAAUUCCUAGUGUAGAGGUGAAAUUCGUAGAUAUUAGGAAGAACACCAGUGGCGAAGGCGGCUCACUGGCCCGGUGCUGACGCUGAGGCGCGAAAGCGUGGGGAGCAAACAGG